UUCACUCCAGACUUUUGUUCAACAUGUUGAGAGGAAUUUUUGCCUUAUUGUUCUUGAUCGUUCUAUGCAGCCAUAUCGAGGCCAGGUGUGGAGGAGUUUGCAAGGAAUACAACAACGAUUUUAGGCCCAAGAAUGGAAGAGUUGAGUGGUAUAAAGGAUGUAAUUGCGACAGCACGCUUUUCAAACGAAGGUACAGCCAACUAGACGAUAACUCUCGCCUAGACGAUAUGGAUAGCUAUGUUCAAGAUAGUGGAUUAUCAGGAUUUGGUCGCUUUUACCAGAAGAAAUGAAGCACUUUUUGAAGAAUAAUGCUGGAAUCUUAAGUCAUCAUAAAAGAAAAGCUUUUUUGCUCUUUGUGGAAAAACUAACUUCACAACAUAGAUAAAAUAAAAACUAAUGAC